rnacentral:rRNA from 1 species
GACGUAGGGCGCGAGCGUUGUCCGGAUUUAUUGGGCGUAAAGAGCUCGUAGGCGGCUUGUCGCGUCGAAUGUGAAAUCCUGCGGCUCAACUGCAGGCUUGCAUUCGAUACGGGCAGGCUCGAGUUCGGUAGGGGAGACUGGAAUUCCUGGUGUAGCGGUGAAAUGCGCAGAUAUCAGGAGGAACACCGGUGGCGAAGGCGGGUCUCUGGGCCGAUACUGACGCUCAGGCGCGACAGCGUGGGGAUCAAACAGG